rnacentral:rRNA from 1 species
GACGAACGCUGGCGGCGUGCUUAACACAUGCAAGUCGAACGGAAAGGCCCUGCUUUUGUGGGGUGCUCGAGUGGCGAACGGGUGAGUAACACGUGAGUAACCUGCCCUUGACUUUGGGAUAACUUCAGGAAACUGGGGCUAAUACCGGAUAGGAGCUCCUGCUGCAUGGUGGGGGUUGGAAAGUUUCGGCGGUUGGGGAUGGACUCGCGGCUUAUCAGCUUGUUGGUGGGGUAGUGGCUUACCAAGGCCUUGACGGGUAGCCGGCCUGAGAGGGUGACCGGCCACAUUGGGACUGAGAUACGGCCCAGACUCCUACGGGAGGCAGCAGUGGGGAAUAUUGCACAAUGGGCGGAAGCCUGAUGCAGCAACGCCGCGUGCGGGAUGACGGCCUUCGGGUUGUAAGCCGCUUUCGCCUGUGACGAAGCGUGAGUGACGGUAAUGGGUAAAGAAGCACCGGCUAACUACGUG